rfam:Ipomoea nil DNA, scaffold: scaffold3210, cultivar: Tokyo-kokei standard.
GAUGGUUUUGCCGAGUGGUCUCAGGUGCCAGAUUUAGGCUCUGGUCCGAAAUGGCGUGGGUUCAAAUCCCACAACCGUCA